rnacentral:lncRNA from 1 species
CCCCUCCGUCUGUCUGUCUGCUGUUGGCUUUGUCCGUCUGCAGCGCCGCCCCUCGGCUCCCCGCCACCGGCUCGGCUCGGCCCGGAGCCCCUUCCGCUCGCCGGGGCCCAGUCCCGGAGCGCCCCGGCCCGGCUGGCUUGGGCUGCGGUCCCGGGUCCAUUGUCCGGCGGUCCGUCUGUCCGGAGGCGGGGCCCAGGGACCCAGAGCGCAGCGCAGCGCCGAGGCGCCGGAUACAGAUCACUUGGAUUCAGUCGAGUUUGCUUUGCUCCGUGGGAACUGCACCAGAGCUGGAGGUUAGCAUCUUGCAAGGAGGUAGUAACAUAUCCAGUCGUGAAACUGGGAAAGACCAGAGCUCUUGCAUCAGGGAAACAUGUCCCGUCGGAAACAGACAAAUCCAAAUAAAGUUCACUGUGAGUAUCGGGCUUUGUCUUCUGGAACCU